rnacentral:rRNA from 1 species
UACGUAGGGUCCGAGCGUUGUCCGGAAUUACUGGGCGUAAAGAGCUCGUAGGUGGUUUGUCGCGUUGUCCGUGAAAACUCACAGCUUAACUGUGGGCGUGCGGGCGAUACGGGCAGACUGGAGUACUGCAGGGGAGACUGGAAUUCCUGGUGUAGCGGUGGAAUGCGCAGAUAUCAGGAGGAACACCGGUGGCGAAGGCGGCCUUCUGGACAGUGACUGACGCUGAGACGCGAAAGCGUGGGGAGCAAACAGG